rnacentral:lncRNA from 1 species
GGAAACGUGCACUUUUGAUUGGUGGCGGUGGGGAAGCUUUUUGCUACUGAUUGGCCGAACGCUUAGCGGCCUCCCGCCGCUUUCUGCUCUCGGCUGUAGGCACGGCGCAGCCCGGCCCCGAGCCUUUGCGUGUCCAGGGCUGCGCGGACACUCCCGCGCCGCGGGCGAGGCGCGACAGCUGCCGCUGCCCGGAAUAAGAGCUCUUGACGGGACAACGCCGGGGCCUUUAAGCCUCCCCUCGGUUCUCCCGGAUGCAGCUUGACGUAAGAAGGCGACCCGCGGCGCCGCUCGGGAGCCCUCGCGCCCAGUGACGCCGUCCUUCCGCUCCGGCGCUCGGGAAACGUCACUGUGCGUGACGGCGCGCGAGCCGCCAUUUGUUCUGCGCGCGCGCCGCCGCGCGUGGGUACCGCGCAUGCGCCGUGAGCCGAGCGGGCAAGGCGGGUACCGCGUCCAGGUGCGGGCUGGGGGUCGGUGAGCCGCCCGGCAAGGCGGUGUGCCCGCUUACUGGCUUUCUCCCUUCGCGGGCACCGGGAUGGUCCGAGGGCGUCUGCGUUGCUCGUCCGGGAUGAGCGCGAAGUCGAGGACUCGUUCUACCUUCUACCCGUUCGUGCCGGAGCCCGACAAGACGUUCUUACGAAACCUCUUCUGCCGCGUAACGUGAGCGGGCGGGGGGCGAGGGGGGGCGCGGCCCGCGCUGCGCUGCGCCGCUCUGCUCUGCCGGGCAUCGGCACUGUGGCAUCCGCGGGCACUGCGGGCGGCGCGGUGCCUCAGCCAGGCGGGAGAGGCGGCGGUCGGACGCUGAACCGUUAGUUCAGUACGUGUGUAUGGAAUGGAGGUCCUGAAGAGGCCCGUUUGCGCCGACGCAAAGCCGGGGUUGUGGUUUUACCGCAGGGACUGAAGGACGGUGGGAGAAGCAAACAAGCGAAGCGUGCGCGGUGCGGCGGUCUCAGCCCGGUCGCGGGCCGGGCCUGACGCGGUAAGUAAGGUUGGUCCGUUCCGCGCUGCCUUUGUUUGCACGCUGAGCGGCGUAGGAAAGCAAACACUUCGUCAUCCUCGUCCCGAGCAGCAGAGCCGUGCUCAGCUCUCGGCUGGCAGCAUCAGUCCUGGUGGCUGAUCGCUGUGUUGCCGCUACCACAGCGCGGUGCGAGCCCCGCCGCUGGGCUGAGGGUGGCAGAAGCGCGCCCGAAAAUGACACCAGGUGAAGUUAAAGAUAAAAGAGGCUAUGAGAAUACCCGGCCUGUCGAAUCCUUAGGGAACAAAGCCGAUGUGCUAGAAGAGAUUGCUGAACAAACUGUUCAGAUUUGGUAACGAAUUGUCCCUGUGAAGCAGCUGAGCAGCACACAGCUUGGCGCUGCCACAGCUCCUGGGGAGUCCCGCUGUCGGUGUGCAGAGCACCCUGAGAACGUGGCAACAUACGACAAAUGUCUGACCAAAAGUACACUUUUUGUGGAAAUAAUACUUUCAGCUUUUCUAUUAAUUAGGCUGUAAGUGGUAACGCUGUUAUCUUCCUUCAUCUGCUUAAAUUAUUCGUACGAUUCAGUAAUUAGCUACUCCGCAGAGCAGCCUAGUAGUUACACUUCAACCAUGCUGAGCUAACUCACUGUCACGAGCUAACAGGUGAUCGCUGCUCCUGUUACAUAACCUGAUCCCAUUUCAUUUAUGGCAGCCUACAUAAACUUACUAUUUUUGACAGAUUCGAUUGCUGAUGGAAUUACACUGAGAUGAAAAACAGAACUUGAUUGUUGUUGCUUGUGAGAGAGAUUAAAAUGUCCUUUUCAGGGAAUUUAGAAACAAUGCCUUUUGGUAUCAAUAAGUAGAGCCCUCAGUACCUGGCUGGAACGUCAUUGCAGUCCGCUAGGACACCUUGGUGCUGCCUUGGGGAGCUAAAACUCUUGUCUUCUCCAGGCCUGCUUUAAGAGACGUUUCAUUGCUAUUUGUACUGAUGAUUUUGAACAAACAAUGUAGGUAAAUAAUACUCGACAGAAACAGAAAAACCUCACAUCCGAGGCGUAAUGAGAAGUUACAGAGCUUUUCUGUGCUUCGGAGCAACUCGGUGUUCUUGAUCAGCUUAAGCACUGUAGUAGAAUUGUGAGUCAGAAACGUGUAUUUUAGGUGCCUUCACAAGGCUGACCAAGAACCUGGCUGAAAAUAAACUAAAGAAACAGAACAGUCUUUCGAGCUGAAAAAUAGACCAAGAAAGGAAUUACAGGGCAGGCUGUGGGGAGAUCACAGUACGAGUCAUUACACUCAUCUUUGUUGUUGUUUCUGAAGUGCUUAUUUAAAAAUCCCAGGGUAAUGUCAUCUUUAGUUUUUGUUGUCUUUGUUGUCAUACAUUCUACAUUUUAAAUUCAGAUGCCAUGUAGUUAGGAGAAUUUUCUCUGAUAAAAGUUCCUAUAAAGUCUUGGCAGAUAGAACCUGAGCAGCAGGUUGUUGUUACCAUGUCCCAUUAUUUGCAGGGUGCCUUGAAAACGGAGCAAUUCUUUUUUGUUGCUUUUAUGUUAAAUUCAAACUAACCGUGGUGACAGCAAAACCAACUUCUUUUUCUUUCAGAAAUGGGAUUUUUUUAGGCCACAGUUGGAAUUCAGCAACAGAAGUGGUGGUGCAGCUUCUCCAUCAUAUACACUUCUCAUGUUCCUACACCUCUGUUGCCCUCUUCUUGUGAGUGCACAAAUUCAUCUGGGUGUAUGGUAAAAUAGAAUUGAUACACGGGCAAACCAGUGGCUGUGUUUCAAUGGAAGGAAUCCCUGGUCUGGUUUAUCUCACAGCCAUGCAAACAGCUGCACUGACAACAGAAAAAAAUGCACUUGGAACAGUGUCCUGAAAUUGUCACCGCUCCACUGGAACAGACAUCUGAAAAGAGCAAGAGAAAAAGGAGAGUUAGACAGCAGCUUGUGCUGCAGGAGCGGCAGUGUGUGGUGCUGUGAUGGAAACAACAGAGACCAUUUGAUACUUUACUAGGCACAUUCUAAAGAUCAAUCUAAACAUUGUUUUACUCGCAUUCGUUACUCACGUUAGCCUGAGAUGGCUCUGAACUUCAUUGGUAUGGUGUCAGAACACAUGUGGAACGGGAGAUAGAUGUGCUGAAGAAGCUCAGUGGCUGCUGUGCCGACACAGCAGUUAGAGCAAUAGGUUUGUUGACUGAAGCUAACCUGAGAACAAAAGCAAAAGGUCAGCAUGGGCAUUUUUCCCCUACCUAACCAGGUAAUCUUGAAUCAUUCUCUGUAAGCAAGAUCAAAAUCCUGUAUGAUUGUCACCAUUAUUAAGUAAUAUUUGUUUUCCAUCCUGAUGCUUUUUGCAAUUCUAUCAUGUCUUUGUAAUUAGCUUCAGGUGAAUCUGACUAAUUGUGAUUUUAUAUUUUUUUUCCUGGCUGAAAUUUCGGUGGGUGCUGGAGUUGCUGAGCCAUCACUUGGGUAUUCCGUGAAGUCUUUAAGCUAGAGAACCGAAUCCUGCACCCCGAAGCACCCCGACUGCGCUCUGAGAUGCAGUCGCUGAAAUGUACCCUUACUGCUGUGACAGUGGCUGCCAGCGUCCUCCAAGCCUUUGUGUCUCUCUUCAGACAAAACAGACUCGGGCUGCAGCCUGAGAACACUGUAGAUUUUUGAGCAGUAGUUACAAAGCCAGAAGAAUCUCCCCUUCACUGCUAUACUUACAAGUCAGUGCAUUCCUUGGUGUUAACGUAAGCUAUGGCUUUUAAAUAAUAUAAUAACCUACGAUUGGUGACUGAGUGCUUAAUUAUCAAAAUAAUCACAGAGUUCCUUUUUUGGAUUAAAUAAAGUGAUGAACUAAUACAGAAUUGGGACUUACAGGAAAUAGGAAUGAAGGCAUUGGUGCAGCUCGCUUUCAAAAGUAGGGUCAGACUUCAUUUUUUUUUCCUGCUAAGCUGAUAAAACAAAACAGGCAAAGGGACUUAUCUUAAGUUCCAUAGAAUGGUUCAGAAGAGGAAACAAAGCAAUAGCAGACUCAUUUUUAUAACUCAAAUGUUGAAAAGUAAAUCGGCUCAGAACCCCCUGAGCAGGAGAGUUACAUUGCUGCCAAUGGUGGUGUUGGAUAGGUGGGAGUACGUUUGUUUCAGAGCACUGCUCUAUCUGCAGCAUCCAAAGCCCUUAUCAGACACCUUCUGACAUUGGGAUUACAGUUCCCAGGAACUUCUGACCGAAAUAAGUUAAUGAUAUCUGAAGAUAAUUCCCGGAAUGCGUUCCCUUAAGGUGUUUUGGUUUUGCUGUCUUGUAAAUAGUCCUUGCUUCUUUCCCAGACCCAGAAUUCUGUCAUAUUUAGGUAUAAUGACAUUGUGCUCUUUCCAUAAGCAGUCAUUUGCAAAUACAGGGUUAUUCCAACCCCGUGUGUAUUUUGGGAAGAAAUCUCUUUUCCUCGAUAAUUAAAACAGGGAAUUUCAAAAAAGAUUUGUUUAAACACCCAUAAGAACAGUCAAUUUGGGUCAGACAUGAAUAUAUGUUUUAACUGCUCAAGGAAAUAGUCACCAACAGCACCUUGAAAAAUGAGAUAAAUUUAUGUACAGAUCAAGAAACUUCAAGGGUAGGUGGGAAGCACAUCAUGAAGGUAUGAAUUUGUCAACUCUCUUCUUUUUGAGCAGCUUUAAAUUUUUCCUUGUUAACAUUAUUAUAAUUAUUUGUUACAAUUUUCCUAAAAGAAAAAACAUCCAAAUGUUUCCUAUUUUAUUAUCUAUUGUGGCUAAGAAAGCUUAAAGGUACUGAUAUCGGCCCACUUAAUUUAGCUGUUUAUUUUGUUACUUCCUACUUUCUCUAUAAUAUUGUCUUACUUGUCCGUACAUUACAAAGGCACACUGGAAACUAAGCUGAGGAAAAUUACACCCAUUUUCUGACCUGCUUGCUAAUACGAUGUUUACAUCGCUGACGUAAUGAGCAAACCCAUUAUCAUGAGCUUCAGCUGUUUACAACAGGUCUGAACUUUAUCGUUUUCUUUUUUGUAGCUCUGGCUGUGCAGAUUAAUGUAAUGAUGUAAGGUGUGUCAGAUGGCUUCCUUCUGCAGGCAGAGAACACCUCUGCAGCCGCUGUUAGCGCAGGCCUCCGGAGGUGCCUCACUGAAGGGACGUUCUCAUUUUGUGGUGUGGAAGAGAAUCCACAUUAACAGGCAGUUACAAAUAACGGCUGUGACGGAGGAGCAAAACCUUUCCCAACAGCAGCAGUGCAUGUGGGUAGUGUGCACUCAGCAAGGAGAUGCAGCAUACCUGAAGUCUUGGAGCAGUGCUUUUAGGUAACAUUGCUGUUCUCUUGUCUCUCAUAUCUUUGUGCUAACCAUAUUUACAUUAAUUUUGUGUUCUUUUCCUUCGUGUUAUAAAGCCUCUUUUGUGUUUCUAACCACUCAUAAUUCCACAAAAUCUGGGUUUUAAGCUUGUAUGCCCCAAGACCCAAACAAAACAAGCGUUAGAUGGCUGUUUUUUCUUUGUCGUGUUUGCAGUGGUUUGUUGUUUAGUUUCAUUGGUUUCAUUUUAAACUGGAAAAUGGUACUCUAAAAUGUGGCACUCCACCCACUGACUGCAUACAAAAGGUUUUAAAUUAACAGGAGAGUUAACAUUCUUCCAAACCUCAGUGCAGAACAUAUAUAAUUAUGCUAAAUCGUUGUUGGAAGCUAUUUUGACAGGAAAUGUUGUCUGCCGUCUGAGAUUUCGCUAUAUGUAUAUACUUCAGGCAUGUCAGCUUUGUUAAAGUCUCUUAAACUGCAGCAUUAUUAAUAGCAGUAGAAUGAGCUGCCGUAGCCCACUUUAAUGCACUGUAAGUGUGGCAGUGGACGGAUGUUCCCUCCACCUUGCCUCCAGCUUUGUAUGGAGCUCCAGUUGUCCUGUGUCUCAGUACUGACAUUUGUCAAGUUGAACCGCUUGUCUUUAAACCUACACAACUAUUCCAGGGAUUGUUUAUAUUAAAAUUUACUUUAUUCUGUAAACUGUUGAAUUUCCAGUUUUAGAUAGUGAGGCUUUGUUUGUAUUUUCCUUUGUUACCUUUUAGAUGUAAUAGGGAUGCCCAGGUUUAACUGCGAACAGUAAUGAACUAACAGUAAAUACCAUUUGUAUUUUAUUUGCAUGUUUUCAAGCCUGAAGCUUUUCUGCCUGUCAGCUCAAAUGGUUUAGUAUUGAGUUUAUCGUCAUUCUUUUCUCUUCCGAAAUGCUCCCCAGGUUACUUUAACAAAUAUUGUAAUGAAUUGAUCAUUUUUUGUCCUUGCGGGGGGGGGGAAGAAUGCUGCGUUGGUUAAAUUUUAAUCUUCACUACCAAAAUUUGACCAGCUUUGGGCGUGCGCACUCCCAUCUAACUGCAGCUCAGUCACAGCAUACUCUGCAUUCAACUUCUUUUUCCAGGUAGGAAAAAAGGGCUACAAGGGUUCUUCUGCUAACAGAACAGGAAGUCCCUUAUCUUCUAAAGCUGCGUGACUCCAUGCUUAAUUGCAGGCUCCAGGCAGAUACGAAACAUGCCUUGCUCAAAUGAAUUACUUGAGCCUGUACAAGCAAUUUCAGGACCUACGGCAUAGAAGCCAGAUGAGACAAUCUAACCCUCAACUCUUUGAAUAAAAGACAAAUAAGUGAAAGAAGAAGAUGAGCAGAGGCCAAGACAGUGAUGAUUUAGUGAAGCACAACAUUAAAAGAACAGGAAAAAAAAAGAAAGUUUACCAAUAAGAAAUCACUUCUGGUUUGAUGGUGACCCUUCCCUAAGGGAUCAUCCUUCUUGGUGCCCUCACAUCACUCCCAAAGUCCAGUAUUUAACACAAAAUUAGGGCUCCUGCGGCUCCUCCUCUUCCUUCAGCCUGCAGAAAGGUUGAUCAUAAAGGCACCCACCUAAUUCCAGUUCUCCCAGUUGUGGGGUAAUCAGCUCAUUAUGCCGAUGACAGAAAACUGUAAUAUAUAUGCU